CCCUUAGAUGUUCUGGGCAGCACGCGCGCUACAAUGGUCUUCAAACGGAUGCAUUCUCGAAGGAGAAUGCCAAUCUUGGAAUCUAUGCCUUGGUCGGGACAGUUGCUUGCAAUUUUUCGACUCGAACCAGGAAUUCCUUGUAAUCGUGAUUCAUCACAUCACGAUGAAUACGUCCCUGCCCUUUGUACACACCGCCCGUCGCUCCUACCGAUCGAAGAGUUAGGUGAAUUGUUUUGAUCGAUAAGAUUUGACUAUGGUCAACUCUCGUUGUGAAAUUCUGUGAAUCUGACUGUUUAGAGGAAGGAAAAGUCGUAACA
rnacentral:rRNA from 1 species